CUAAGAUGUCUGAAAUUCUGUCUGGCCAGUGUCACCUUCUCUGGAUCAUGCCUUGACUCUACUUCCCUGUCUCAGAUGGAGCCGUCCUUCCACUGGGAUCUACAGAGCCAGCAUGAAAUCGAUAGCCGAGAAUGCAAGGAAUACUAUACCAAAGACACCAUGCAAAAAAGGAAGUCAUUCUUUUCCAUGUAAAGGCCUUAAAAAUGAUGGCUGAUGCCAGCACCAUCUUGCUGCCCUGUCCACUCUCCCUCGUAAAUUUGGACUCUAGACACCUGUCCCUUCCUUCUUCUGUGUGCUAAGCUUAGUCUAAUAAACACCUGCAGCUGUG